rnacentral:rRNA from 1 species
ACGCUGGCGGCAGGCCUAACACAUGCAAGUCGAGCGGAAACGACAACAUUGAUUCUUCGGAGGAUUUGUUGGGCGUCGAGCGGCGGACGGGUGAGUAAUGCCUAGGAAAUUGCCUUGAUGUGGGGGAUAACCAUUGGAAACGAUGGCUAAUACCGCAUAAUGCCUACGGGCCAAAGAGGGGGACCUUCGGGCCUCUCGCGUCAAGAUAUGCCUAGGUGGGAUUAGCUAGUUGGUGAGGUAAUGGCUCACCAAGGCGACGAUCCCUAGCUGGUCUGAGAGGAUGAUCAGCCACACUGGAACUGAGACACGGUCCAGACUCCUACGGGAGGCAGCAGUGGGGAAUAUUGCACAAUGGGCGAAAGCCUGAUGCAGCCAUGCCGCGUGUAUGAAGAAGGCCUUCGGGUUGUAAAGUACUUUCAGUUGUGAGGAAGGGUGUGUAGUUAAUAGCUGCGCAUCUUGACGUUAGCAACAGAAGAAGCACCGGCUAACUCCGUGCCAGCAGCCGCGGUAAUACGGAGGGUGCGAGCGUUAAUCGGAAUUACUGGGCGUAAAGCGCAUGCAGGUGGUUCAUUAAGUCAGAUGUGAAAGCCCGGGGCUCAACCUCGGAACUGCAUUUGAAACUGGUGAACUAGAGUGCUGUAGAGGGGGGUAGAAUUUCAGGUGUAGCGGUGAAAUGCGUAGAGAUCUGAAGGAAUACCAGUGGCGAAGGCGGCCCCCUGGACA